rnacentral:rRNA from 1 species
CAAUAGCGUAUAUUUAAGUUGUUGCAGUUAAAAAGCUCGUAGUUGGAUUUCGGGUGGGACGCAGCGGUCUCGAAUUGCGUUUGUACUGCUGCAGCCCUCCUUCUUGCCGGGGGCGGCCUCUCGGACUUCACUGUCUGGGGGUCAGAAUCGGCGAUGUUACUUUGAGUAAAUUAGAGUGUUCAAAGCAAGCUUACGCUCUGAAUAUAAUAGCAUGGGAUAACACGACAGGACUCUGGCCUAUCGUGUUGGUCUAUAGGACCAGAGUAAUGAUUAAGAGGGACAGUCGGGGGCAUUCGUAUUCCGUUGUCAGAGGUGAAAUUCUUGGAUUUACGGAAGACGAACAUCUGCGAAAGCAUUUGCCAAGGAUGUUUUCAUUGA